rnacentral:rRNA from 1 species
GCAUAUCAAUAAGCGGAGGAAAAGAAACCAACAGGGAUUGCCUCAGUAACGGCGAGUGAAGCGGCAAUAGCUCAAAUUUGAAAUCUGGCUCUUUCAGGGUCCGAGUUGUAAUUUGCAGAGGAUGCUUCGGCUUCGGCACCGGUCUAAGUUCCUUGGAACAGGACGUCACAGAGGGUGAGAAUCCCGUAUGUGGUCGGUACCCCCGCCAUGUGAAGCUCCUUCGACGAGUCGAGUUGUUUGGGAAUGCAGCUCUAAAUGGGAGGUAAAUUUCUUCUAAAGCUAAAUAUUGGCCAGAGACCGAUAGCGCACAAGUAGAGUGAUCGAAAGAUGAAAAGCACUUUGGAAAGAGAGUUAAAAAGUACGUGAAAUUGUUGAAAGGGAAGCGCUUGCAAUCAGACUUGCCCGCGGUUGCUCAACCGGUCUUUUGGCCGGUGCACUCUUCCGCGGUCAGGCCAGCAUCAGUUCGGGCGGUCGGAUAAAGACUUUGGGAAUGUGGCUCUCUUCGGGGAGUGUUAUAGCCCUUUGUGCAAUGCGGCCAGCCUGGACUGAGGUCCGCGCUUCGGCUAGGAUGCUGGCGUAAUGGUUGUAAGCGGCCCGUCUUGAAACACGGACCAAGGAGUCUAACAUCUAUGCGAGUGUUUGGGUGUCAAACCCGUACGCGAAAUGAAAGUGAACGGAGGUGGGAACCUUAGGGUGCACCAUCGACCGAUCCUGAUGUCUUCGGAUGGAUUUGAGUAUGAGCAUAGCUGUUGGGACCCGAAAGAUGGUGAACUAUGCCUGAAUAGGGUGAAGCCAGAGGAAACUCUGGUGGAGGCUCGCAGCGGUUCUGACGUGCAAAUCGAUCGUCAAAUUUGGGUAUAGGGGCGAAAGACUAAUCG